AACGAACGCUGGCGGCAUGCCUAACACAUGCAAGUCGAACGAUGCUUUCGGGCAUAGUGGCGCACGGGUGCGUAACGCGUGGGAAUCUGCCCUUGGGUUCGGAAUAACAGUGAGAAAUUGCUGCUAAUACCGGAUGAUGUCUUCGGACCAAAGAUUUAUCGCCCAGGGAUGAGCCCGCGUAGGAUUAGCUAGUUGGUGGGGGAAUGGCCUACCAAGGCGACGAUCCUUAGCUGGUCUGAGAGGAUGAUCAGCCACACUGGGACUGAGACACGGCCCAGACUCGUACGGAAGGGAGCAGUGGGGAAUAUUGGACACUGGGCGCAAGCCUGAUCCAGCAGUGCCGCGUGAGUGGUGAAGGCCUUAGGGUUGUAAAGCUCUUUUACCCGGGAUGAUAAUGACAGUACCGGGAGAAUAAGCUCCGGCUAACUACGUG
rnacentral:rRNA from 1 species